GCAAGACACACUUUGGGGGGAGGUCCGCAUUGGGAAUUAGCCUCACUUGAGGUAUGCAUACCUCAUGAGAAUUUUGGAGAGUUUAAAGUGUUGAAAGUACGUGAUUAUAAUUCAUAGUUAACAUUUUUUUUCUAAGACUUGUGUUAAUUUGUAUACUAGCUAUAUACAAAACAAAAAUUAAAAUGAUGUUGUCAAGAUAGUGCAAAAAGAAUAAAGGCAUUGUGUCUGGUGGAAACAAAGUAAAAAAGAUACUCAUAACUAUAAUAUAAUAUAAAUAAUUUAAAAAAAAAAACUGUAGCGUCCAUGAUAGAAGCUGACACUCUAUUACAGUAAUGACCAGUAAGAUCGUAGCAGUGACCAACCAAAUAGAAAUCAUAUCACACCCAGCCAUGAACCCAAAACAAAACCUAAUAGACGCAAACAUAUGAUUAUAAAAGGCAAAUUAAAGCUUAAACAAAGUUCUACAGUACUUAAUUUACUACUUAGCAUUAAGUAAUAAUAACAUAGGUCUUCUACCAAAGCCAUUUUCCUUAUGCAUGUGGUGGAACUGGUAGUGACACGCCAGCACCGGGAAUAGUGGGCAAAGAAGGGGUACCGGUACAACCACCAGGGAAAGUGCAAAACCCAGAUGGGCCAAAGCCCACACCGGUGAAGCUGAAACCUGGGCUUGGGCUUGGAAAUAUCCCACCAAGGAAGGUCUCGGGCUGAUCCACAUUCUCUUGCUUCAGUAAUCGUCCCCCUUCAACAUUUGAAGCAAUUAGCACCAGCACCACCAUGGCCAACAUCACCACCACCUUUGCCACUCUCUCCAUUUUUUGUAACUUUAAAUAUCUUGUUUCUCACUCACUCCUCUCUUUGUAAGAGCACUUAGCUAGGUUUGGAUUAUGAGAAUGCUGACAUUUCUUUCCCUUUUAUAGUGCCUAUACUUUUGCCACCAUUUCUACCUAAACGCUUUACAAUUAAAUUUAAAUGUUAUUGUUAUCUUUCAACUGGAAAAGAAA
rnacentral:lncRNA from 1 species